rnacentral:rRNA from 1 species
GACGAACCGUGCGAACGUUAUUCGGAAUCACUGGGCUUAAAGCGCGUGUAGGCGGGGCGGCACGUCGGUCGCUGAAAGCCCCCGGCUCAACCGGGGAAGGGGCGCCGAUACGACCGUCCUGGAGGGACGUAGGGGGACCUGGAACUUCCGGUGGAGCGGUGAAAUGCGUUGAGAUCGGAAAGAACACCAACGGCGAAAGCACUCUGCUGGGCCGACACUGACACUGAGAGACGAAAGCUAGGGGAGCAAAUGGG